GAGGAGGCGCGAAGGCGGGAGAGGCAGCCCAGCCUCCUGGUGCCUGCAGCCCUGGGCUGUGCCUCUGGAGUCCGGCGCCGCUGGUGAACUUUGCGGCAUACUGGAUCUCUUUGGACACUUUUACUCAAGGAAGACAGCAGACUAAAUGGAAGCCCCCUGUAGCUGAUAUCCAGAAACUAAAAACUUUCUCUCAAGACCUUUGUAGGUUCUCACAGUGGUAUAUGGAGUACACUCUUAAAACACAGCUACAGAUAAAGAUAGAUAUUUGUACGUGAUGUUUUUCAAGGCUGAAAAACAUUCCAGGUUUUGUGUAACCAGAUUUGACAAUUGA